rnacentral:lncRNA from 1 species
UUUUUUUUUUUUUUUUUUUAACUGAGGACAUUGGGCAGAGUCUAUGAAAUUAAUAUUGUAAAUCAGGAAUCAGAACAAUUUCAUUUGUGUAUCUAAGGCAAGAUAGUAAAUAUUUUAGGCUUAUGGAUCAAGAAAUAAAAUUGAGACUCUGGAGCUAUGGCUCUAACUUUCUCACUGGUAAUUAUUCUCACUAGUAAAGAGUCAAUGACUUAAAAGAGUUUAGGAGAAAAUUCUGUAUUUAGCCCCUUAUCUUUGGCACAUAACCUCUCUAAGUCCAUAUUCCAUUAUAUAAAAAUUAGAAUGAUGAUGCCUACCUAACAGUGUGGCUGUAAGGACAAAAUGACUAGAGCAAAUAAACUACUUAGCACUGAUAGGUAGGAUAGGACAAGGACUCUUGGACAUGGGUGAUUUAAAACUGGCCCUUUAUCGGUUACCAAAAGCAGGAGGCCUGUGAUCAAACAAUGAAGACACAGGCGGGUAUCAGAGGGGUCCUCUUCAGAGGACUUACCUAUAGUCUUUUUCCCAUGCAAAUAAGGUGUCCACACCCAGAACCAAUCAGAGGAUCAAAACACACCCCCAAUACAAAGAUCAAAACAACACCCUGGUACAGGGGGGGUGGGAUAGGAAAUUAGUGGGCCUGGGGCAAGAGAAUAGGGGUCCCCAGACAGGUCCAUGAUAUAGGAAUAUAAUGAGAGACCCAGUUGCAACCAGGACCAGUUCAUACCCCAGGGCAGCCUGCUUCUCUGAAGGCAAAAAUAAAACUCGCCUUAUGCUGCUACCUGACUCUUAACUUUGACAGCGGCAACCAGCAGAAGCAUUUUUUGCUGGGAACGUUGGACCGUCACUGCUGCAACACCUCCCAGCUGGAAUGACCUCCUGCCAGACUGCCUGUCUCCAUCCAUGCAGGACGAAGCCCACUGGCUGUACCCCGGCACCACUACACACUUAUCGGCCUGCACCUCCAAAUCUUUGUUGUGCGUAGGCAAGGACAGAGAGAGAGAGAGAGAGCAUGCAUGCUCAGGGCAGAGGAACCUGACAGCAUCAUGCUUGGCACACUUGAACCACUGAAUACACAGUCAUAGUGAUGCUGUAAUGACAAUGAUGAUGCCCUGAUGGUGAUGAUGGUGGAAAUGAAUAAAGUUCAAAGGGUCAAACCCAAGAGUUUCUCCUAGUAACACAAAGCCUCCUUCAGAGGAUCUAAGUCACAAGUUCCUUCAUCCCAUUAGCAGGCAUGCUAAUAUUUGAGUCUUAUUGAUAUAAUUAAAUCUAAAAUUGCCACAGCAGUCUCUACCCCACCCACUUCCUGUCACUUCCAUUUCAGAUAUUUUAGUGAGGGGCAGCAUUUCCUAGCAACGUGGUUCAUAAAAAAACUGGUUUCAUAAGCUAGAUGUUUUACCUACAAGCACACGCUCACAUAUACAAAGGCACACAUCAUAGCUACACAACUUGUAUGGACAAAAAAGUUUAGGAAAUAUUGAGCUAAAUAAAGUUGGAGAUGUUUCCAAAAGAAGACUUUAAGAAUGCUUUUAUUAUGACAAUAUUGAUUGUGACAGUCUAUGAGGGAGUUAAGAAUAUCAUGUCCCAAAGGUAUUUCCCCAGUUGUUUGUGGUGCCCACUUUGCGUGAAAUAUAUUUUCAAAAUGGUGAAAAUGAUAACAAGCAUUUAGUGAUCAAUAGGUAUGAUAGGAAUGGAGUAGGCACAGAUAUUGCAGAAGUUCCAAUGAAGGACCAUAGGUAGGGACAUCUAGGGGACUCUGGGAGAGCAACAUAAAUCAAUAAAUUGCUCAAAAAAAGCCAUCAGAACAAGGCAGGCUUGCUUGACUAGUGGAAGUGCAAGAAUUGUCUCAGGUCAUUGGGCGGGGGAUGGGAUGGGGUCUGCAUUCAGAUUCAGACCAAGGGCAGGAGUUUGAGGACUGCCCUUCUGAUUUGAAUACACACCUUACUGGAUACCAGGGAAGAGCUACUACUCCCAGAAAGGAAGAGGUGGGCCUUUCCAACACCCACUCCCCUCGGGUGAUAAAACUGUAGCCAAGGGGAUCCUUAGGGAAGAGCUUUGGUACCUGCAAACUUGCAUCUCUCACAAGCGUCUUAUCUUAAUCAAAUCUAUUUCUUGUCUAUCGCUUUGUCUCUCACUGAAUUCCUUCUGCACUGAGGCAUUAAGAACCUAAACUUCAGUGAGUCCAGACACUGGGUGAGAGAUUCUAUUUUAAAACCACGGUUUGGGAGUUCCCGUGGUGGCACAGUGGUUAACGAAUCCGACUAGGAACCAUGAGGUUGCGGGUUCGGUCCCUGCCCUUGCUCAGUGGGUUAACAAUCCGGCGUUGCCGUGAGCUGUGGUGUAGGUUGCAGACGCGGCUUGGAUCCCGCGUUGCUGUGUCUCUGGCAUAGGCCGGUGACUACAGCUCCGAUUCGACCCCUAGCCCGGGAACCUCCAUAUGCCUCGGAGCGGCCCAAAGAAAUAGCAAAAAGACAAAAAAAUAAAAUAAAAUAAAAUAAAAUAAAACCAUGGUUCAAGUCCCAAUCUGGGUUUAGGCUGGGUACAAGUCGCGGCACAUGGGUAGGUUCAGGCUGUUAGUGCUGUCAGGUAUACACCAUG